AGUCGACGCUGGCGUAGCUCGGCUCAGCCCGGCGGAGUCUGACUUCCGGAGGGCCAGCGCGCGCUGGCUGGUUACCAAGGUUACCACCGAGACGCCGAGUCCUCAGCUGGUCCUAGACAUGCGUGGCGUCGGGGCUGUGGCACGGUCGGGUCCGGGGACACUUGUUUAACAAGACAUCUGCCCACGUCCCUGGCCCAUCUCAUUGGCUGCAGCACAUCACAGUGGACCUUCUGCCUCCUCCCAGAUGCACAGGGACAGUGAUCUGGAAGGAAGGGGCUUGAGGCUGUUUUCCUAGAACUCGACUUGAAUGCACCAAGGAAAGGCCAUUUGUGGGGACAUAGCAAGAAGGCAGCUGUCUGCAAGCCAGGAGGAGAACCCUCACCAGAAACCUCACAGAAAUCGGCCAGCACCCUCAUCUCGGGCUUCCAGCUUCAGAACAACGAGAAAACAAAUUUCUGUUGCAUAAGCACCCCAGUCUAUGGUCCUGGUUCCCAUUUGUAAUUGGCACCCUAAUGAAACCGUUUUCUGUAGCCCUGGAAAUGGCUGAAAAUGAGGGGAGGGAAAUAAAGUGCUAUAAUUCAGAGCAUGGAGCACACCUUCCUGGUUCACCUGAGCUGGAUUCGGAGAGGUAAGAUGGCCAUUACCUCGUCUAAGCUGCCACUUACAGACACAGUACAGGAUGAGGCCCAGGCCCACAGAGACAACGAUGAUGGCCACAGCUAAGAUGAUCCAGAAAUUAUUCCUCCACCAGCUCAUUGCAGUGGAAUCCUGAGAAGAAUGGAGAGAGAAGAAUGAGGUAUGAAUGAAAGAUAUCCUGGGGUUGGGUGGAAUGGGGCAGUUAUCUACUGUGGGUUUUUUUGUUUUUUUUUUUUUCUGAGUCGGAGUCUCACUCUGUCGCCUAGGCUGCAGUGCAAUGACGUGAUCUCAGCUCUCAGCUCACUGCAACCUCCACCUCCCGGGUUCAAGUGAUUCUCCUGCCUCAGCCUCCAGAGUAACGGGGACUACAGGCACCUGCCACCAUGCCUGGCUAAUUUUUGUAUUUUUAGUAGAGAUGGGGUUUCGCCACGUUGGCCAGGCUGGUCUGGAACUCCUGAUCUCAGGUGAUUCACCUGUCUUGGCCUCCCAAAGUACUGGGAUUACAGACAUGAGCCACUGUGCCCAGCUGAUCUACUGUGUUGUGUAGAGAUGCAGACAUCUGCUUAGGAAUUAGGCACUGGUUCACAACCAUACCCUACUCAUUAACACCUGGGGGACCUCAGGCAUGUCACUCGACCUUCUGUGAGCCUCAUCUAUAAUAUGGGAAUAAUAUCUCCUACUUCACUGAGGUUUGUGAGGACUGGAGAUCAAGCAUGUACCUACUGGGCCCUCUAGAAAUGGUAGACAUCAUCACUGUUCUUUCAGACAUGCAGCAGGAGGGGGAAGGUGCCAUUUAAAGCAAUAAUUGACUGCAGGGUUGUUGUUUUUUUUCUUGAGACGGAGUCUCGCUCUGUGACCCAGGCUGGAGUGCAGUGGCGCGAUCUGGGCUCUCUGCAAACUCUGCUUCCCGGGUUCACAUCAUUCUCCUGCCUCAGCCUCCCGAGUAGCUGGGACUACAGGUGCCCGCCACCACGCCCGGCUGAUUUUUUUGUAUUUUUUUAGUAGAGACGGGGUUUCACCGUGUUAGCCAGGAUAGUCUCGAUCUCCUGACCUCGUGAUCUGCCUGCCUUGGCCUCCCAAAGUGCUGGGAUUACAGGCGUGAGCCACUGCACCAGGCCAGUUUUUUUGUUUGUUUGUUUGUUUGUUUUUUGAGACAGAGGCUCACUCUGUCGCCCAGGCUGGAGUGCAGUGGCGCGAUCUCGGCUCACUGCAACCUCUGCCUCCCAAGCAAUUCUCCUGCCUCAGCCUCCUGAGUAGCUGGGAUUAAAGGUGUGUGCCACCACGCCUGGCUAAUUUUUGUAUUUUUAGUAGAGACGGGGUUUCACCAUGUUGGCCAAGCUAGUCUCGAACUCCUGACCUUGUGAUCUACCUGCCUCGGCCUCCCAAAGUGCUAGGAUUAUAGGUGCAAGCCACCGUGCCCAGCCAGUUGUUUUUAAUCACAAGGACAAGUCAGACUUAAUGCAUAGCAGGGGAGAGAAAUUUUGAGAGCUUUUGUUUGAGGUAAGGGUUAGAAAAAUAGCUGGAUGGGUCUCUUUGAGUGAGAUAUGGUCAGAAGGGUGAAGCUGAAGAUAUAGGGCAAACUGAGUUGAUCUGCAUGAGAGAGUUAACAGGCAUUUGGGGGCUGGAAGCUGACAGACCAGAGAGGGGGAAAGUCUUGGAAAAGGUUAGCAGCAGAGUGAGAGGUCAAGAAGAGAGCACAAGUCAGAGCCUGGUUAGGAAGCUCCCAUAGUGGCAAAUGACCAAGGUGUUUCUAGGACAGUAAUGCCUCAUGUCCAGCCUUAAAUUGCUACCUAGGUUAUGCUGUGGUGUCGCCUUUUGUUACCAUCAAACCUCCAAUAAAACUGCGUAACACGGCCGGGUGCGGUGGCUCACGCCUGUAAUCCCAGCACUUUGGGAGGCUGAGGAGGGCAGAUCACUUCAGGUCAGGAGUUCAAGACCAGCCUGGCCAACAUGGCGAAACCCUGUCUCUACUAAAAAUACAAAAAUUAGCUGGGUGUGGUGGCACAUGCCUGUAGUCCCAGCUACUCAGGAGGCUGAGGCGGGAGAAUUGCUUAAAGCCAGGAAGCAGAGGUGGCGGUAAGCCGAGAUCACGCCACUACAUUCCAGCCUGGACAACAGAGCAAGACUCCAUCUCAAAACAAAAACAAAGGCUAGGUGCAGUGGCUCACGCCUGUAAUCUCAUCACUUUGGGUGGCUGAGGCAGGCGGAUCACAUGAGGUCAGGAGUUCGAAACCAGCUUGGCCAUCAUGGUGAAACCCCUUCUCUACUAAAAAUACAAAAAAUUAGCUGGGCAUGGUGGUGCACGCCUGUAAUCCCAGCUACUUGAGAGACUGAGGCAAGAGAAUUGCUUGAACCCGGGAGGCAGAGGUUGCGGUGAGCCGAGGUUGUGCCAUUGCACUCCAGCCUGGGCAACAAGAGCGAGAUUCCAUCUCAAAAAAAAAAAAAAAAACUGGUCUCAAAGAGGGAGUUGUGAGAACCCCAACUUGAAGCUGGUUGCUCUCAAGUUCCAGAGGCCCGGACUUGCGACUGACGUCUGGGGAGCUGGGGGCAGCAGUCUUGGGGACUGAGCUGUGAGAUCUGAUACUAUCUCUGGGUCUAUAGUGCUGGCAUUGAAUUGGAGAACACCCAGCUGGUGUUCACUGCUUGGUGUGUGGUGGAAAAACCCUCACACAUUUGGUCACAGAAGCCCUUUUCUGUGUUGAUGAUUGUUGUGGUGGUGUGAGAACAGAGGGAAAACACCGUUUGCAGAGUUUUUCCUGAAACAAUACUCUUUAGAGCGAUAGAAAUAAAUACCACGACCUGCGCAUUCAAAGCUGUUGUAUCUGGAUUGUGACUGCGUGGAAGGUCGAGGCGGGAAGACAGGGGCUGUUGCUUUUCGUUAUAAACUCUGCAUUACUUGAUUUUUGCACUACGUACAUUUACUUUGAUAACACUGAAAAGAAUAAAUUGGCCAUGUAGUGUAGCUUCCAGAAAAAAAACUAUUGCUUGGGUUUCAAGGUCAAGGAAAUUUCAUUCUCAUCAGUUUCUUGGGAAAGAGGAAGUGGAAUGAUGUUGUCAGAAAGUGAAACCAUGGGUCAUUUUCAGAACUACUCAGAGUAAUAAAUAUUUUUUGUCAGUUUUGUUCUUACAAGUGAAAUGGACCGCAGAGAGGCACUUUUUCUUUUCUUUUUUCUUUCUUUCUUUUUUUUUUUUUUGAGAUGAAGUCUCGCUCUUGUACCCCAGGCUGCAGUGCGAUGGCGUGAUCUCGGCUCACUGCACCCUCCACCUCUCCAGUUCAAGCGAUUCUUCUGCCUCAGCCUCUUGAGUAGUUGCGAUUACAGGUGUGUACCACCAUGCCCGGCUAAUUUUUUUUGUAUUUUUAGUAGAGAUGGGGUUUCACCAUGUUGGCCAGGCUGGUCUCGAACUCCUGACCUCAGGUGAUCCGCCUGCCUCAGCCUCCCAAAGUGCUGGGAUUACAGGCAUGAGCCACCACGCGCGGCCGACACAUUUUUAAUAGAACCAAGGAGAGCUUGCUUUUUGAGAGAGGGCAGCUGAGAGAGGGGGCCUAAGAGAAUCACAUCCUAGUUCCAGUAGGAUGUCCUCUAGGCCACCAGGCUGGCUUAAUGGCCAAGGUGCUUUCCAGAGAGAGGAAGCCCUGGGGAAGGAUGAUAGAGAGUACAGAAAACAGGGAGUACACAAUGGCUGCAUGACCGAGUUCAGGCCCUGGGAAGGUAUGGAAGCUGGAUCCUACCUGUGCUAGCAGACCUGGAGUUGUGGCCACAGAGGGCCGAUAAGAUUGUGAGUACAGGACUACUGAGGGCUACUGAAGGAUCGCAAAGAAGUGUUUGCACUGGCCGAGUGCAGUAGCUCAUGCUUGUAAUCCUAGCACUUCAGGAGGCCAAGGCAGGUGGAUCACUUGAGUCCAGGAGUUCAUGAUCAGCUUGGGCAACAUAGCAAGACCCUGUCUCUAUACACACACACACACACACACACAACACACACACACACACACUCAACACACACACACACACACACUCUUACACUUAGCCGGGUAUGGCGGCAUGCGCCUGUAGUCACAGCUACUCAGGAGGUUAAGCUCCUCCUCAGCUACUCAGGGGGUUUCACCAUGUUGGCCAGGGUGGUCUUGAACUCCUAAUCUCAAGUGAUCCGCAUGCCUCGGCCUCCCAAAGUGCUGGGAUUACAGGCGUGAGCCACCCUGCCCACCCAGAAUGAACUUUCAAAAGGGAACAAGGAUUAGAGAAGGGAGUGACACCGAAUAGAACCAGAGAGAAGGGGCUUGGGGGCAGGAAGUUGAGAGCUCACACCUAAGUUUCCAUUUCCUCUGAGGUGGGAGGCAAAGUCAACAGCGUGGGGGUUGAGGUGGGAGGGGUCCGGCUUGAGCAGAGCAGUGCAAUAGCACGCACCAACUCCUCCACCUUCCAGCCCAGUCCCCAUCCCCCAUUCCCAUGGCGCUUUCUUCACAAUUUUAGCUGGUGGAGCCUCUCUCGUGAGGCCAUCCUUUCUCCUUGCCUACCGCAUCCCAAGGAGAACUCAGCUACGUGAAGGGAUGUCACUACCCCUGCAAUAUGUAUAUGUGAAAUAUGUUGGGCGUGGUGGCUCACGCCUGUAAUCCCAGCACUUUGGGAGGCCGAGGCAGGCAGAUCAUGAGGUCAGGAGUUCAAGACCAGCCUGGCCAACAUGGUGAAACCCCCUCUCUACUAAAAUACAAAAAUUAGCCAGGCAUGGUGGUGUGCACCUGUAAUCUCAGCUACUUGGGAGGCUGAGGCAGGAGAAUUGCUUGACACUGGGAGGCGGAGGUUGUGGCGAGCCGAAAUCAUGCCACUGCACUCCAGCCUGGGCAACAGAGCUAGACUCCUUCUCCAAAAAAAAUUUAAAAAAUGAAAAAUAAGUUGGGCAUGGUGGCACACGCCUGUGGCCCCAGCUACAUGGGAGGUUGAAGUGGGAGGAUUGUUGGAGCCCAGGAAGUUGAGGCUGUAGUGAGCUGCAGUCACGCCACUGCACUGCAGCCUGGGUGACAGAGCCAAAUCUUGUCUCAAAAAAAAAAAAAAAAUGCAUUGAGCACAGUGGCUCACACCUGUAAUCUCAACAGUUUUGGAGGCUGAGGCAAGAGGAUCACUGAAGGCCAGGAGUUAGCAACCAGCCUGGGCAACACAGCAAGACCUUGUCUCUACAAAAAAAUUUAAAAAUUUGCCAGGCGAGGUGGUGCAUGCCUAUAGUCCCAGCUACUCAAGAAGCUUAGGUGAGAGGAUUGCUUGAGCCCAGGGAUUCGAGGCUACAUUGCGCCAUGAAUGUGCCACUGCACUCCAGCCUGAGUGACAGAGCAAGACCCUGUCUCAAAAAAAAAAGAAAAAACAGUGAAAUGCAUUUUUCUUCCAACUGAGCCUGUGACAGUGACAGUUGUCUCUUGGUGUAUUUGUUCUCUUUGUUUAUUUGUUUGUUCCUUGUCUGUCUCCCACACUGAUGGGCAAGCAGCGUAAGAGCAGAGGCUUUGCCUGUAAUUACCACUGUGUUUCUAGCGCCUAGAACAUCACCUGGGGCAGGACAUACCAUACAUAUCUGUGAAUAUACGAAAGAAUGGAUGAUGCCCCAGUCUCUUUCCCCUGCUAUAGAUGGACCUCCCACCCGAGAAUGCAGGCAGAAGUCACUUUGGGUCCAGUAACUGAAAUUCCUGUGCUGUGCAGUCUAAUUCCAAAGCCUCAUCUGGACACACGACCCUGGGCAGGCUCCCCGUCCUGCGCUGGCCAUUGGCUACUGGGGCCAAGAGGCUGGCUGGGAAGCAGUGGCAAUGCAAUGCUGGGGAGGUGGAGUUCCAGCUUCCCCUUUGUUUCUCCCCAUUCCUCUAGUUGUCCAUGACAUUUUCAAGGAACACGAGUGAGUCUGUUGCAGUUCCGGGUGGUUUCGGUGGAAAGGAUUUGGCAAGGCCUUCCACAGUGAAGAGGGCGUGGGAGUGCGAGAGCAGCUGAAGGCAGUCGCCACGUCAGCUUCACUUUCAUUUCUCCGAAGGGCAUUUCCAGGGUGUCAGGGACAGAAAUCACAUUUUCCUUCACCAGGAAUUUCUGAGACUGUGGGUUUAUUUAGCUUUUUUUUUUUUUUUUUUUUUUUUGAGACGGAGUCUUGCUCUGUUGCCCAGGCUGGAGUGCAGUGGCGCGACCUUGGCUCACUGCAACCUCCAUCUCCCCGGUUCAAGCAGUUCUCCUGUCUUAGCCUCCCAAGUAGCUGGGACUACAGUCGCACGCCACCAUGCCCAGCUAAUUUUUAUAUUUUUAGUAGAGAUGGGGUUUCACACCAUAUUGGUCAGGCUGGUCUUGAACUCCUGACUUCAGGUGAUCCACCCGCCUUGGCCUCCCAAAGUGCUGGGAUUACAGGCAUGAGCCACUGCGUCCGGCGUAUUUAGCAUUUUUAAAAGAAGAUCUUCAGUAAGAAAUAUAGUUGACGUUGUGAUAGUUAUUCACGUAUUCACAUAAAUGAAGCGCUGAAGGGCCCUAGGCUGGCCAUCAAGGGAACAAGUUCCCCACCCCUCCCCUCCCCCCAUCUCCUUUCUCCCCUCUUCUCCUUUCUCCUCUCUGCUCCUCUCCUCUCCACUCCUCUCCUCUCCGGUCCUCUCCUCUCUCCUUUCUCCUCUCCUCUUCUCUCCUUUCUUCUCUCCUCUCCUUUUUCUCCUCUCCUUUCUCCUCUCCUCUCCUCUGCUCUCCUCUCCUCUCCUCUGCUCUCCUCUCCUCUCCUUUCCCUUCCUUUCCUUUUUGUAGAGACAAAAAAAUGUUGUAGACACACAAAAAAUGUUGCCUAGGCUGGUCUCAAACUCUGGGCCCCAAGUGAUCCUCCGCCCCAGCCUCCCAAAGUACCAGGAUUACAGGCAUGAGCCACUGCACCUGGCCAGAGGGAAUAGGUUUCCUGUUCCCACUCAGCUGUUGCACUUGGAAUAAGAUGCUUAACGUCUCCUUGCAGGCUUCUGAAAAGCUUCCAAGAGAUGUUGCAUGCAAAAGAGCUCUGUGUGCAGAAGAUCACCAAGCAUGAGGCAUUAUUAAGGGCAAACCAACCAAGUUCUAUUUACAAUAGCAAGUGUCUUCUAAGAAGGGCAGCUACCGACCAGGAGAGUCCCCUAUUCUCCCUGCAGAGGAUCUGCAGAUCUGCAAAGCUGGCCGGGUUAGGAAUGAAGUUUGCUGGUAGGAACUGGGGAAUGUUGAAUUCCUCUGGGUUAUAGAAGGGGAGAAUUUGGAGUUCUGGGAGGGAAGGUGAUGAGAAGAAGGGAUGGAAAGAUGAGAAGGGAAGCCAGCAGGAUGGUGCAAAGGUGGGAGUGAACCCGAGGGCUAGAUUAGGCCUGCAGAACUUAACCUACCUUACUUGAUUUUAGUCACUUGCUUCUAGUUGAUCUUAAAACCUAUAUAGCUGCUGGGGGCAGUGGCUCACACUUGUAAUCCCAGCACUUCGGGAGGCCGAGGCUGGAGGAUCACUUGAGCCCAGGAGUUCAAGACCAGCCUAGGCAACACAGCGAGACUUUCUCUCUACUGAAAAUAAAAACAAAAAAAAACCAAAAAAAAAA